GAAAUGUGAAAGAUCAAGUAAAGCUGCUAACUUUAUACUUUAAUGGUUUAAAUCCAUUAACAUUUCU
rnacentral:tRNA from 1 species